CCCCCUACCAGUUCUUCGCCGCGGGCUGUCACUGAGGGGCGCCCGGUGCCGCCCUCCCUCCUCUGCCCGUACGUGAAGGGGCCGUGAGCCGGGGUCACAGCCGGAAGAAGCAGACUUUGCUUUGUUCUCAGGUUGCGAGAGCACGAGAGAAACGGGGGAGGGGGGCGGGGCAGCCGCCGCCGUUUUCGUGUGCGAAGAGGACCGUUUCUACGAGGGAAACAACCGCCUUCCUCACGUCCGCCCCCGGCGCUGCGAAGGCCCUGCCUCUCUCUGCCUCCUUGCCCCGAGAAGCCUGCCUCCUCAAGGACCUCUUGACCUGCCAGUUCAUCAGGACCGUGUAUGUCAGAAUGAAUGUGUGUGUGUGUUUUUCCCCACAAAUUCUGUGCAAAUUCUCUGAUGCGCUAACCCUUUAGUAAAGCCUUACUGCACAUAAACUCAGUUUGGCUAAUUAUGAAUCCUGUGUAGGAAGGAUGGUUUAACAGAUUAGUUUUGCGUUUGAUCGUUUGAUUUUUUUUUUUCACUUCAGCCUGUAACAAUUAGAUUUUAUUAUGAACUUGAAUCACUUUAUCUGGGAUGUGCUAGAUUCACUGUUACACACCUCUUUAAAUCGAGACUGGAUGCAUUACUCUGAAUAUAGUGUACCUGAGGUGUAAGUUGUAGGCUCCAUGCAAGAAACAUUUACUAAAGUUCUCUUUUAAAAUUCAAAGAAGUCAGACUAGAUUAUCAUAAUGGUCAUUUUUGCUAUUGAAACUUAUGACUCUGUUAAUCUGUUUUAUUCAGAAAACUCAAACCUCCCAUUGAAAUCAGAUAGUUGUAAGAUAUUCUGUAAUAAGAGGCAUAGAGUGGGUCUUUUAUACUGUCAGAACUGAAAUUUUCAGGAUUAAUGGGCACUUUUGAAAUGUGACUUCUACUAUUGUCAUGCUAGUCACUGGAGUCAACGAGUGAUGGUUACCUUUGAUAACAGCGGACUGGGACAGUGAAUUAACCAGCUGUUGUAUUCUCUUUGUUUCAUAUUUGUUUUAUGAGGAAGAAAGCGUACCUGGCUAUUUACACUAUUAAACUUUGCCAUCCUAUCUAUCAUCUUUUUCCCACUCUGGUUUUACAAUGUUUAUUAAGCACGCUGAAAAUCAGGAAGGUCUUUUGUUCAUUGGUAUUUUGUGAGUAAGUCAGGGUGGGACCCAUGGCACUCUCCAAAAGUCUUAAUUUUGUUUCUUCAGUUGCAAAAUCAGUAAGCUAGAGCUGUCUAGCAGAUAGUUUUCACAACAGCAGUAAAGAGCAUCCAAAUCUUACUCCAGCUAAGUGGUAUAAUACAUUGGUCGAGCAAAAAAGCUAUCACUAUUUUUAGGUAAGAAUGCAUCUCGUUUUCCUGCAUUGCAUCCAGAAUGUUUUUAGCUGAGCAUUAAAGUGAAUGAU
rnacentral:lncRNA from 1 species